UACGUAGGGGGCAAGCGUUGUCCGGAAUCAUUGGGCGUAAAGAGCGUGUAGGCGGCCUGGUAAGUCCGCUGUGAAAGUCCAGGGCUCAACCCUGGAAUGCCGGUGGAAACUGUCAGGCUCGAGUCCGGAAGAGGCGAGUGGAAUUCCUGGUGGUAGCGGUGAAAUGCGCAGAGUAUCAGGAGGAACACCAAUGGCGAAGGCGGGAUCUCUGGGCCGUUACUGACGCUGAGGAGCGAAAGCGUGGGGAGCGAACAGG
rnacentral:rRNA from 1 species